UUAAGCGACUAAGCGUACACGGUGGAUGCCCUGGCAGUCAGAGGCGAUGAAGGACGUGCUAAUCUGCGAUAAGCGUCGGUAAGGUGAUAUGAACCGUUAUAACCGGCGAUUUCCGAAUGGGGAAACCCAGUGUGUUUCGACACACUAUCAUUAACUGAAUCCAUAGGUUAAUGAGGCGAACCGGGGGAACUGAAACAUCUAAGUACCCCGAGGAAAAGAAAUCAACCGAGAUUCCCCCAGUAGCGGCGAGCGAACGGGGAGGAGCCCAGAGCCUGAAUCAGUGUGUGUGUUAGUGGAAGCGUCUGGAAAGGCGCGCGAUACAGGGUGACAGCCCCGUACACAAAAAUGCACAUACUGUGAGCUCGAUGAGUAGGGCGGGACACGUGGUAUCCUGUCUGAAUAUGGGGGGACCAUCCUCCAAGGCUAAAUACUCCUGACUGACCGAUAGUGAACCAGUACCGUGAGGGAAAGGCGAAAAGAACCCCGGCGAGGGGAGUGAAAAAGAACCUGAAACCGUGUACGUACAAGCAGUGGGAGCCUCUUUUAUGGGGUGACUGCGUACCUUUUGUAUAAUGGGUCAGCGACUUAUAUUCUGUAGCAAGGUUAACCGAAUAGGGGAGCCGAAGGGAAACCGAGUCUUAACUGGGCGUUAAGUUGCAGGGUAUAGACCCGAAACCCGGUGAUCUAGCCAUGGGCAGGUUGAAGGUUGGGUAACACUAACUGGAGGACCGAACCGACUAAUGUUGAAAAAUUAGCGGAUGACUUGUGGCUGGGGGUGAAAGGCCAAUCAAACCGGGAGAUAGCUGGUUCUCCCCGAAAGCUAUUUAGGUAGCGCCUCGUGAAUUCAUCUCCGGGGGUAGAGCACUGUUUCGGCAAGGGGGUCAUCCCGACUUACCAACCCGAUGCAAACUGCGAAUACCGGAGAAUGUUAUCACGGGAGACACACGGCGGGUGCUAACGUCCGUCGUGAAGAGGGAAACAACCCAGACCGCCAGCUAAGGUCCCAAAGUCAUGGUUAAGUGGGAAACGAUGUGGGAAGGCCCAGACAGCCAGGAUGUUGGCUUAGAAGCAGCCAUCAUUUAAAGAAAGCGUAAUAGCUCACUGGUCGAGUCGGCCUGCGCGGAAGAUGUAACGGGGCUAAACCAUGCACCGAAGCUGCGGCAGCGACACUAUGUGUUGUUGGGUAGGGGAGCGUUCUGUAAGCCUGUGAAGGUGUACUGUGAGGUAUGCUGGAGGUAUCAGAAGUGCGAAUGCUGACAUAAGUAACGAUAAAGCGGGUGAAAAGCCCGCUCGCCGGAAGACCAAGGGUUCCUGUCCAACGUUAAUCGGGGCAGGGUGAGUCGACCCCUAAGGCGAGGCCGAAAGGCGUAGUCGAUGGGAAACAGGUUAAUAUUCCUGUACUUGGUGUUACUGCGAAGGGGGGACGGAGAAGGCUAUGUUGGCCGGGCGACGGUUGUCCCGGUUUAAGCGUGUAGGCUGGUUUUCCAGGCAAAUCCGGAAAAUCAAGGCUGAGGCGUGAUGACGAGGCACUACGGUGCUGAAGCAACAAAUGCCCUGCUUCCAGGAAAAGCCUCUAAGCAUCAGGUAACAUCAAAUCGUACCCCAAACCGACACAGGUGGUCAGGUAGAGAAUACCAAGGCGCUUGAGAGAACUCGGGUGAAGGAACUAGGCAAAAUGGUGCCGUAACUUCGGGAGAAGGCACGCUGAUAUGUAGGUGAAGCGACUUGCUCGUGGAGCUGAAAUCAGUCGAAGAUACCAGCUGGCUGCAACUGUUUAUUAAAAACACAGCACUGUGCAAACACGAAAGUGGACGUAUACGGUGUGACGCCUGCCCGGUGCCGGAAGGUUAAUUGAUGGGGUCAGCGCAAGCGAAGCUCUUGAUCGAAGCCCCGGUAAACGGCGGCCGUAACUAUAACGGUCCUAAGGUAGCGAAAUUCCUUGUCGGGUAAGUUCCGACCUGCACGAAUGGCGUAAUGAUGGCCAGGCUGUCUCCACCCGAGACUCAGUGAAAUUGAACUCGCUGUGAAGAUGCAGUGUACCCGCGGCAAGACGGAAAGACCCCGUGAACCUUUACUAUAGCUUGACACUGAACAUUGAGCCUUGAUGUGUAGGAUAGGUGGGAGGCUUUGAAGUGUGGACGCCAGUCUGCAUGGAGCCGACCUUGAAAUACCACCCUUUAAUGUUUGAUGUUCUAACGUUGACCCGUGAUCCGGGUUGCGGACAGUGUCUGGUGGGUAGUUUGACUGGGGCGGUCUCCUCCUAAAGAGUAACGGAGGAGCACGAAGGUUGGCUAAUCCUGGUCGGACAUCAGGAGGUUAGUGCAAUGGCAUAAGCCAGCUUGACUGCGAGCGUGACGGCGCGAGCAGGUGCGAAAGCAGGUCAUAGUGAUCCGGUGGUUCUGAAUGGAAGGGCCAUCGCUCAACGGAUAAAAGGUACUCCGGGGAUAACAGGCUGAUACCGCCCAAGAGUUCAUAUCGACGGCGGUGUUUGGCACCUCGAUGUCGGCUCAUCACAUCCUGGGGCUGAAGUAGGUCCCAAGGGUAUGGCUGUUCGCCAUUUAAAGUGGUACGCGAGCUGGGUUUAGAACGUCGUGAGACAGUUCGGUCCCUAUCUGCCGUGGGCGCUGGAGAACUGAGGGGGGCUGCUCCUAGUACGAGAGGACCGGAGUGGACGCAUCACUGGUGUUCGGGUUGUCAUGCCAAUGGCACUGCCCGGUAGCUAAAUGCGGAAGAGAUAAGUGCUGAAAGCAUCUAAGCACGAAACUUGCCCCGAGAUGAGUUCUCCCUGACCCUUUAAGGGUCCUGAAGGAACGUUGAAGACGACGACGUUGAUAGGCCGGGUGUGUAAGCGCAGCGAUGCGUUGAGCUAACCGGUACUAAUGAACCGUGAGGCUUAACCUU
rnacentral:rRNA from 1 species